UACGUAGGGUGCGAGCGUUAAUCGGAAUUACUGGGCGUAAAGCGUGCGCAGGCGGUUCGUUGUGUCGGUGGUGAAAGCCCCGGGCUUAACCUGGGAAUGGCCAUGGAAACUGGCGAACUGGAGUGUGGCAGAGGGGGGUGGAAUUCCGCGUGUAGCAGUGAAAUGCGUAGAUAUUGGGAGGAACACCAGUGGCGAAGGCGGCUCACUGGACCGGAACUGACGCUGAGGCGCGAAAGCGUGGGGAGCAAACAGG
rnacentral:rRNA from 1 species